rnacentral:rRNA from 1 species
AGGUCACUGCUAUCGGUGUUCGAUUAAGCCAUGCGAGUCGUGAGGGGUAAAGCCCUCGGCGGAGUGCUCAGUAACACGUGGACAACCUACCCAAGAGUCAGGGAUAACCCCGGGAAACUGGGGAUAAUACCUGAUAGGCCAUGACAUCUGGAAUCGAGUUGUGGUUUAAACGUAAGGCUCUUGGAUGGGUCUGCGGCGGAUUAGGUUGUUGCCGGUGUAACGUACCAGCAAGCCUGUAAUCCGUACGGGUUGUGGGAGCAAGAGCCCGGAGAUGGAUUCUGAGACACGAAUCCAGGCCCUACGGGGCGCAGCAGGCGCGAAAACUCUACAAUGCAGGCAACUGCGAUAGGGGAACAUCGAGUGGCAUCCACCAUGGAUGUCUGUCCAAUCGUCUAAAAAACGAUUGUCAGCAAGGGCCGGGCAAGACCGGUGCCAGCCGCCGCGGUAAUACCGGCGGCUCGAGUGGUGGCCGAUAUUAUUGAGUCUAAAGGGUCCGUAGCCGGCUUUGCAAGUCCUAUGGGAAAUCCAGCGGCUUAACCGUUGGGCUUUCAUGGGAUACUACAUUGCUUGGGACUGGGAGAGGUAGGAGGUACUCAGGGGGUAGGGGUGAAAUCCUGUAAUCCUUUGGGGACCACCGGUGGCGAAGGCGUCCUACCAGAACAGGUCCGGCGGUGAGGGACGAAAGCUAGGGGCACGAACCGGAUUAGAUACCCGGGUAGUCCUAGCCGUAAACGAUGCUCGCUAGGUGUCACGGCAGUCGUGAAUUGUCGUGGUGCCGUAGGGAAGCCGUGAAGCGAGCCACUUGGGAAGUACGACCGCAAGGUUGAAACUUAA